UGCCGGAGUGGUGGAACUGGUAGACGCGCUGGCUUCAGGAGCCAGUGAGCGCAAGCUCGUGUGGGUUCGAGUCCCACCUUCGGCAU
rnacentral:tRNA from 1 species